GCGGAGGAAAAGAAACCAACAGGGAUUGCCUCAGUAACGGCGAGUGAAGCGGCAAAAGCUCAAAUUUGAAAUCUGGCACCUUCGGUGUCCGAGUUGUAAUUUGAAGAAGGUAACUUUGGAGUUGGCUCUUGUCUAUGUUCCUUGGAACAGGACGUCACAGAGGGUGAGAAUCCCGUGCGAUGAGAUGCCCAAUUCUAUGUAAAGUGCUUUCGAAGAGUCGAGUUGUUUGGGAAUGCAGCUCUAAGUGGGUGGUAAAUUCCAUCUAAAGCUAAAUAUUGGCGAGAGACCGAUAGCGAACAAGUACAGUGAUGGAAAGAUGAAAAGAACUUUGAAAAGAGAGUGAAAAAGUACGUGAAAUUGUUGAAAGGGAAGGGCUUGAGAUCAGACUUGGUAUUUUGCAAGCCUUACCUUCGUGGUGGGGUCCCCUGCAGUUUACUGGGCCAGCAUCGGUUUGGAUGGUAGGAUAAUGACUUGGGAAUGUGACUUUGCUUCGGUAAAGUGUUAUAGCCCUUGUUGAUACUGCCUGUCUAGACCGAGGACUGCGUCUUUGACUAGGAUGCUGGCAUAAUGAUCUUAAGUCGCCCGU
rnacentral:rRNA from 1 species